ensembl:snRNA U2 U2 spliceosomal RNA
AUCACUUCUCGGCCUUUUGGCUAAGAUCAAGUGUAGUAUCUGUUCUUAUCAGUUUAAAAUGAUGAAUGAUAGACACCAAAAAACAAGAGCACAUACGUAAGUGGCUUCUUUUCGGUGAAGUUCAGGAAGAGAUCCGUUAACCAGCU